rnacentral:rRNA from 1 species
GCUUGUCUCAAAGAUUAAGCCAUGCAUGUCUAAGUAUAAACGCUUUAUACUGUGAAACUGCGAAUGGCUCAUUAUAUCAGUUAUAGACUAUUCAAUAAUCUCUUACUACUUGGAUAACCGUAGUAAUUCUAGAGCUAAUACAUGCGAAAAGACCCGACUUCUUGGAAGGGUUGUAUUUAUUAGAUACAAAACCAAUGCGGAGCAAUCCGGUUCUUGGUGAUUCAUAAUAACUUUGCGAAUCGCAUGGCCUUGCGCCGGCGAUGAAUCAUUCAAAUUUCUGCCCUAUCAACUUUCGAUGGUACGGUAUUGGCCUACCAUGGUUACCACGGGUAACGGGGAAUUAGGGUUCGGUUCCGGAGAGGGGGCCUGAGAAAUGGCCACCACAUCCAAGGAAGGCAGCAGG